GUUAUUGUUUAUUUGAUACAUUAAAUGGAUAACUGUAGAAAAACUAGAGCUAAUACAUGCUAAGGCCGCAAGGUUGUAUUUAUUAGAUAUUCCGAUAAGGUGAAUCAUAAUAACUUCGCAAAUCUCAUCCUUGAUGAGAUAAAUCAUCCAAGUUUCUGCCCUAUCAUGCUUUCGUUGGUAGUGUAUUGGACUACCAUGGCUCUCACGGGUAACAGGGAAUUAGGGUUCGAUUCUGGAGAAGGAGCCUGAGAAACGGCUACUACAUCUACGGAAGGCAGCAGGCGCGUAAAUUACCCAAUCCUGACUCAGGGAGGUGGUGACAAGAUAUAACAACGAGAUAAUUUAUCUCGAUUGUAGUGAGGGUUUUCUAAAUAGAACCUAUAGUACGAUUAGAGGGCAAGUCUGGUGCCAGCAGCCGCGGUAAUUCCAGCUCUAAUAGCGUAUAUUAAAGUUGCUGCAGUUAAAAAGCUCGUAGUUGGAUUUCAAGGAAUGUAUUGUCUCCCGGCAAUACAUCCUACUAGUCAUUUGACUGUUACUGUGAGAAAAUUAGAGUGUUUCAAGCAGGCUUUCGCAAGAAUACAUUAGCAUGGAAUAACGAAUGUAUUUAGAAUCGUGGUUUAAUUCUAAAUUACGAUUAAUAGAGACAGUUGGGGGCAUUAGUAUUUAAUUGUCAGAGGUGAAAUUCUUGGAUUUGUUAAAGACUAACGUAUGCGAAAGCAUUUGCCAAGGAUGUUUUCAUUAAUCAAGGACGAAAGAUA
rnacentral:rRNA from 1 species